rnacentral:rRNA from 1 species
UUGUACUGAUUGAGAUUUUAACACGAAGUGAGUGGCGAACGGGUGAGUAACACGUGGUAACCUGCCCAGAAGUAGGGGAUAACACCUGGAAACAGAUGCUAAUACCGUAAACAGAGAAAACCGCAUGGUUUUCUUUUAAAAGAUGGCUCUGCUAUCACUUCUGGAUGGACCCGCGGCGUAUUAGCUAGUUGGUGAGGUAAAGGCUCACCAAGGCAGUGAUACGUAGCCGACCUGAGAGGGUAAUCGGCCACAUUGGGACUGAGACACGGCCCAGACUCCUACGGGAGGCAGCAGUAGGGAAUCUUCCACAAUGGACGCAAGUCUGAUGGAGCAACGCCGCGUGAGUGAAGAAGGGUUUCGGCUCGUAAAGCUCUGUUGUUAAAGAAGAACGUGGGUAAGAGUAACUGUUUACCCAGUGACGGUAUUUAACCAGAAAGCCACGGCUAACUACGUGCCAGCAGCCGCGGUAAUACGUAGGUGGCAAGCGUUAUCCGGAUUUAUUGGGCGUAAAGCGAGCGCAGGCGGUCUUUUAAGUCUAAUGUGAAAGCCUUCGGCUCAACCGAAGAAGUGCAUUGGAAACUG